rnacentral:rRNA from 1 species
GAUGAACGCUGGCGGCAGGCCUAACACAUGCAAGUCGAGGGGUAGCAGGAUUAAGCUUGCUUAAUUGCUGACGACCGGCGCACGGGUGCGUAACGCGUAUGCAACCUACCUUAUACUGGGUAUAGCCCGGAGAAAUUCGGAUUAAUCCCCCAUAGUACUAAUGAAUCGCAUGGUUUAUUAGUUAAAGCAUUGCGGUUUAAGAUGGGCAUGCGUCCUAUUAGCUAGAUGGUGAGGUAACGGCUCACCAUGGCUACGAUAGGUAGGGGGCCUGAGAGGGUGGUCCCCCACACUGGUACUGAGACACGGACCAGACUCCUACGGGAGGCAGCAGUGAGGAAUAUUGGUCAAUGGGCGCAAGCCUGAACCAGCCAUGCCGCGUGCAGGAAGAAUGCCCUAUGGGUUGUAAACUGCUUUUAUUUGGGAAUGAAAAGGUCUCUCUUAAUACGGGGGGCUCAUGACGGUACCGUAAGAAUAAGCACCGGCUAACUACGUGCCAGCCGCCGCAGUAA